rnacentral:rRNA from 1 species
AUUGAACGCUGGCGGCAGGCCUAACACAUGCAAGUCGAGCGAGCGGCGGACGGGUGAGUAAUGCCUGGGAAUUGCCCAGUCGGGGGGAAUAACAGUUGGAACAGACUGCUAAUACCGCAUACGAAUAGAUUGCACAGGUGGGAUUAGCUAGUGGGUGAGGUAAGGGCUCACAAAGGCGACGAUCCCUAGCUGGUCUGAGAGGAUGAUCAGCCACACUGGAACUGUGACACGGUCCAGACUCCUACGGGAGGCAGCAGUGUGGAAUAUUGCACAAUGGGGGAAACCCUGAUGCAGCCAUGCCGCGUGUGUGAAGAAGGCCUUCGGGUUGUAAAGGACUUUCAGCGAGGAGGCGUUACUCGCAGAAGAAGCACCGGCUAACUCCGUGCCAGCCGCCGCGGUAAUUC